rnacentral:rRNA from 1 species
GAUGAACGCUAGCUACCGGCUUAACACAUGCAAGUCGAGGGGCAGCAGGAUCUAGCAAUAGAUUGCUGGCGACCGGCGCACGGGUGAGUAACACGUAUCCAACCUGCCGAUAACUCGGGGAUAGCCUUUCGAAAGAAAGAUUAAUACCCGAUGGUAUAAUUAGACCGCAUGGUCUUGUUAUUAAAGAAUUUCGGUUAUCGAUGGGGAUGCGUUCCAUUAGGCAGUUGGUGAGGUAACGGCUCACCAAGCCUUCGAUGGAUAGGGGUUCUGAGAGGAAGGUCCCCCACAUUGGAACUGAGACACGGUCCAAACUCCUACGGGAGGCAGCAGUGAGGAAUAUUGGUCAAUGGGCGCAGGCCUGAACCAGCCAAGUAGCGUGAAGGAUGACUGCCCUAUGGGUUGUAAACUUCUUUUAUAUGGGAAUAAAGUUUUCCACGUGUGGAAUUUUGUAUGUACCAUAUGAAUAAGGAUCGGCUAACUCCGUGCCAGCAGCCGCGGUAAUACGGAGGAUCCGAGCGUUAUCCGGAUUUAUUGGGUUUAAAGGGAGCGUAGGUGGACAGUUAAGUCAGUUGUGAAAGUUUGCGGCUCAACCGUAAAAUUGCAGUUGAUACUGGCUGUCUUGAGUACAGUAGAGGUGGGCGGAAUUCGUGGUGUAGCGGUGAAAUGCUUAGAUAUCACGAAGAACUCCGAUUGCGAAGGCAGCUCACUGGACUGCAACUGACACUGAUGCUCGAAAGUGUGGGUAUCAAACAGG